rnacentral:lncRNA from 1 species
GCUGGAUAAGAAAUGCAUCGAAGAUAUUAAUCAGCUCAUAGCACAGAGGUUGUGGAUUUUCAAACCAAUCCCCUGUGGAUAACAACUGUCGCAGGGUAUCUGAAUUUGGGGAGAACAUAAGUCCAUGACACAUGUGUACAAAACUUUCAUUGGUAAGAACAAUGGGAGCAAAUAUUUUUGCUACCUACCUAAUCUCUGUGGUAGGACUAAACGUAUUUCAAUUUCUUUUUACAUCAUUUAUACCAGUUUGGGGGACUUUUAAAUGACCAGAACUCACACACACAGGGAUAUUAGUGUCAUAAUAAUAAUAUAUAACAACAUACAACAGAGCAACCAACAAGCUUAACACCUGAGAAAAGAUAGGUGCCUCCCAGAAGUAACAAACAUGAGUACUUGAUUACCUAGGGCACACAUAGCACAGACCAAGAUAUAAUCGCCUUGAAAGUGGAUGAAAAGAAUGCAGCUGAAACAUUUAUCAAAUUAUUGGAGGCCAAAUGUGAACACUAGUGAAGAUCAACUGUGGUUGGAGAAAUGAAGAACAGCAAAACUCUAACCCCGGGACAAGUACAAGAUUACUGAGAAAGCUUCACCCCACAAACUCAGGGGCACUAAGACUGAGGCUGAGCCGUAACGACAGAAUUUUCCCACUGUUAAAGCAAAUAAAUAUGGCCUGAGAAGGAUUUCUAUAUUUGAGUCCUUGUGGACUAACUGCAACCUAGCUUAACAGGGUAAGACCAUUUAAAGGGACCAAAAAUGGAUGAACAUACUUGGCACUAUGAACUAAAAGAUCUUUGGCUAAAGAAGAGAUGAAGACUCAUUCAACUCCUACAAGUGAAUUAAGGAGCUCUGAGAAGGCAAAGCCAGCCCAGGAGGGUGGACACACUAAGAACAAUGUGCCUUGUCCUGAUACACAGUUGUGGUAUAGGUAACAAAAUCUGAGUAUCCAACCUAAGAUGUUACCCCUCACCUCACCAGAAUACCUCCAAUCCCUUCCCUGGAAACACAGAAUAAAUUCCUAUAGAAAGUUAU